rnacentral:rRNA from 1 species
ACCAGUACCGUGAGGGAAAGGCGAAAAGAACCCCGGCGAGGGGAGUGAAAAAGAACCUGAAACCGUGUACGUACAAGCAGUGGGAGCACGCUUAGGCGUGUGACUGCGUACCUUUUGUAUAAUGGGUCAGCGACUUAUAUUCUGUAGCAAGGUUAACCGAAUAGGGGAGCCGAAGGGAAACCGAGUCUUAACUGGGCGUUAAGUUGCAGGGUAUAGACCCGAAACCCGGUGAUCUAGCCAUGGGCAGGUUGAAGGUUGGGUAACACUAACUGGAGGACCGAACCGACUAAUGUUGAAAAAUUAGCGGAUGACUUGUGGCUGGGGGUGAAAGGCCAAUCAAACCGGGAGAUAGCUGGUUCUCCCCGAAAGCUAUUUAGGUAGCGCCUCGUGAAUUCAUCUCCGGGGGUAGAGCACUGUUUCGGCAAGGGGGUCAUCCCGACUUACCAACCCGAUGCAAACUGCGAAUACCGGAGAAUGUUAUCACGGGAGACACACGGCGGGUGCUAACGUCCGUCGUGAAGAGGGAAACAACCCAGACCGCCAGCUAAGGUCCCAAAGUCAUGGUUAAGUGGGAAACGAUGUGGGAAGGCCCAGACAGCCAGGAUGUUGGCUUAGAAGCAGCCAUCAUUUAAAGAAAGCGUAAUAGCUCACUGGUCGAGUCGGCCUGCGCGGAAGAUGUAACGGGGCUAAACCAUGCACCGAAGCUGCGGCAGCGACGCUGAUGCGUUGUUGGGUAGGGGAGCGUUCUGUAAGCCUGCGAAGGUGUGCUGUGAGGCAUGCUGGAGGUAUCAGAAGUGCGAAUGCUGACAUAAGUAACGAUAAAGCGGGUGAAAAGCCCGCUCGCCGGAAGACCAAGGGUUCCUGUCCAACGUUAAUCGGGGCAGGGUGAGUCGACCCCUAAGGCGAGGCCGAAAGGCGUAGUCGAUGGGAAACAGGUUAAUAUUCCUGUACUUGGUGUUACUGCGAAGGGGGGACGGAGAAGGCUAUGUUGGCCGGGCGACGGUUGUCCCGGUUUAAGCGUGUAGGCUGGUUUUCCAGGCAAAUCCGGAAAAUCAAGGCUGAGGCGUGAUGACGAGGCACUACGGUGCUGAAGCAACAAAUGCCCUGCUUCCAGGAAAAGCCUCUAAGCAUCAGGUAACAUCAAAUCGUACCCCAAACCGACACAGGUGGUCAGGUAGAGAAUACCAAGGCGCUUGAGAGAACUCGGGUGAAGGAACUAGGCAAAAUGGUGCCGUAACUUCGGGAGAAGG